UCCCUUGUGGCUCAGCUGGUAAAGAAUCUGUCUGCAAUGCAGGAGACCCAGGUUCAAUCCCUGGGUUGGGAA
rnacentral:tRNA from 1 species